UAACAUUAUACAAAGUGUCCCGUAAUUGUUAUUCUUGUUAAUUUAUUCCACAAACUAACAGAGAUAUUUUUAACAAAAUUGCCAAUUAAAUAAUUAGAACUGAACUCUGUAAGUACAGUGAUUACUCAGAAAAGUUAUCUAUAUUAGAGAAUGAAGAGGCACUCUCAAUUUUUUCGUAUUAACAUAAAUAUUUCGAUAUGUAAUAAAUAUUUCGAUAAAUGAAGCAAAUUCAGAAGAUAUAGACAAGAAUAGAAGAGCAGAACAAAGAACUGCAACAAUAUUAAAUUCAAUCUUUACACCAGGGCAAAUAACAAAGCUGUUUGCAGAAAAUAGAAAAAGAAUUACUUGGUCAGCCGAGGAUAUAUCUUCUGCAAUUGCUCUCCGAUCAUUGAGUGGUAGAACGUAUAAAUACUUGCGAGAAGUAAAACAAAUGCCAUUGCCUUGCGAAUCCACACUGCGAAAUUGGGCUGCAUCAUUCGACGUAUAUAAUUCUGCAAAACUACCUGGCGACGAAUGACGAGCUGCAGUUGCUGGAGAAUUUUGAACAAGAAAUGUCCAAAGAUAUUGUGGAAAACGAGGGCCUAAUUUAUAUAGUCGGUUAUGUCGCGCAUAGAUUUCGACAUACGCACCCAAAUCUUGGGGAUCCAACAAGAUCGGUUCAAAUUAGAAACGAUUGGCUGUCGCUUAUAUCUAAAGGAGGAUGUAUAUAUCCUACAAACGAAUUUAUUGAAAUUGGAAAAAAAAUGAACAUUGCGUUUACUAAGUUUCAUGGCAAUGACUUGUCGAGGGAACCAUAUAUUUUUGACAAACUCACAGACAUAGUCCUCGAUGAAAUAAAAAGUGAUUUUCCAAGAAAAGUCAUAGCAUGCCUCGUUCGAACACGAACGUAUAUAAGACUGAAAAGUUUAAAUAUUAGAAUUAAAAAUAAUAAUACGGUUCAUAAGAAAUCUAAAAAAACUUAUCAUUUAAGUAGUAAAAUUUAUGUUUAAAUUUGUUUUUAACACUUUUACUUAUAUUAUGUGGAGCAUAAAAUUCGUGUUCGAACAAGGCAUGCUAUGACUUUUAUUUCCUAGUUGAAGAUCAGUAAACGCAAUGUUCACUUAUUCGUUACUUUUUGGUCACAAUGUAAAGACUGAAAGAAAAUAUAUUUUUAUUGAUAAAAUAUGAUUUAUAAUUUUGAUUUGUGAUUUAUGAUUUUUUAUUUACGAUUUAUAAUUUUUGACAUAUUGAUAAUAUAUUUUUAUUGAUAAAUAUAUAUAUUUAUUGAUUUUUACAUUUUCUUGUACAACUUUUUUCAUCAUGCUUUCUCCUAAGUCCAUUAUUACUUAAAAUUAUUAUUUAAAAAAGUUAUUUUUAUUCGCAAUUCGCGAUGUUAAAAAAGAUGUUGUCGGUAUGAUACGAUUUUCUAACCUGAAUAGUCGUCAACUUUAACGAUUAAUAUAUAACUCGAUUCGCGGGGAAAAGCGAUACUUUUUUCUGCCAGAUUCCUUUGUUUUGUGUAAAAACGCGUCGAAUAAGCCUAAUUUCAUUGAUUUUCAAGGCGGCAUACCUAUUUUGUAUUAUUAUCUUAUUUUCUAUAACCAAUUCAGAUUUUAAAUGUGCGCCUAUAAAUUGUACCACGCUCUGAUUGGUUUACCACAUCACGCUGUCGCCAUUAUGCGCAAUGCUUCACCUUGUUAUUUCCACCAUGUAUCCAACGGCUGGUUUUAGUAACUAAAGUAGCCCGUAUGGGUGCGCUAGUGUAGCAUGCCACAGCCAGUAACAGACUUCGGCUAACAUCCAGCCAAUAAGAGUAUCAUGUGGGACUUCAGCCUACCGCACAUGAAAUGCAUAAUGACAACGACAUACAGAAUGGACUGCUGAUAACCCAUGGUGGGGAUAUAUGAUUUUUUUCUUCUUUGAUUUGUCCGUCGCAGAGUCGUAACAUCUUAACGACUGCAUUGUAGACCGCGCAUAAUAGCUUAUUGUAGAA